UCGGCAAAUUGGUACCGUAACUUCGGGAGAAGGUACGCCCUUGUAGCUUGAUCAUGAACAAUGGAAGGGUGAAGGGGUUGCAAUAAAAUGGUGGCUGCGACUGUUUAAUAAAAACACAGCUCUCUGCAAACACGAAAGUGGACGUAUAGGGUGUGACGCCUGCCCGGUGCUGGAAGAUUAAAUGAUGGGGUGCAAGCUCUUGAUUGAAGUCCCAGUAAACGGCGGCCGUAACAAUAACGGUCCUAAGGUAGCGAAAUUCCUUGUCGGGUAAGUUCCGACC
rnacentral:rRNA from 1 species